rnacentral:lncRNA from 1 species
GAAACGCACUUCAGAGGUGUUUGAGUUCACAUGUGUUACUUGAUGUUGUGGACAGAGGCCAUAGUACAGUGGGAUAGUCAGUGGAAAGUGGAGAAUAUUAACAGGGAAUGUAGAAAACUCUUUAUGGAACUUUGAAUGUGAAGAAAAAGAAACCAAGAAAGAGGAGGAGACAAAGAGAGAAAGAAAGAGAGCAAUAAAGAGAGACAGAAGAGAUAUCUCCAUCAUGUGGCUGCAAUGGAUGCUGAAGGCAGCAGGUGGCUGAAAUCCUGGUGUGAUGUGGCUGGAUAAUACAUGGCCUGAGGACUCCUGCACUGAUGACUGCAGGAUGGGUCCAGAAUUUUCCUAUACAUAAAUUAAAAUACUAAGCAGUCCAGAAGGAGCCAUUAGCAGACAUCACACUUUGCUUACUUUGCUAUCUAUCACUGAGAUCACCAGCCUUUUCAGCCUGGUUAGGAAACAUUGCUGGGGAACUAGUGCAGUGAUUUGGAGUCCAAGGACAUCGAGCACAGUACCUUUGCAGUGGCAGUGUCAGAGGGACUUUCAGUUGUCUCUGGGAGCCCCACCUCACAGAAAUGCAGAGCAUCUGCUAAUGCAAGUGUUCAGCCAGAGGGUGAGGUGGCUGUGCCAUGGGCCUGAGCUGGGAGCCCUUCUUGGUGAAGAGUAAAGGGUCAGGGACUCACACGAAAGGGAGACUGAGUUCCUCUCCAUAUGGUGACUGUGGCAUGCUAGAGACAUGAGUAAUGCCCUCAGGCUCUUUGUUCCUUCCCCAGUCCAAAG